rnacentral:rRNA from 1 species
AGCGAACGCUGGCGGCAGGCUUAACACAUGCAAGUCGAGCGGGCACUUCGGUGUCAGCGGCAGACGGGUGAGUAACACGUGGGAACGUACCCUUCGGUUCGGAAUAACGCUGGGAAACUAGCGCUAAUACCGGAUACGCCCUUUUGGGGAAAGGUUUACUGCCGAAGGAUCGGCCCGCGUCUGAUUAGCUAGUUGGUGGGGUAAUGGCCUACCAAGGCGACGAUCAGCAGCUGGUCUGAGAGGAUGAUCAGCCACACUGGGACUGAGACACGGCCCAGACUCCUACGGGAGGCAGCAGUGGGGAAUAUUGGACAAUGGGCGCAAGCCUGAUCCAGCCAUGCCGCGUGAGUGAUGAAGGCCUUAGGGUUGUAAAGCUCUUUUGUCCGGGACGAUAAUGACGGUACCGGAAGAAUAAGCCCCGGCUAACUUCGUG